rnacentral:rRNA from 1 species
UACGGAGGGUGCAAGCGUUAUCCGGAUUUAUUGGGUUUAAAGGGUCCGCAGGCGGACUUGUAAGUCAGAGGUGAAAGCCGGCAGCUCAACUGUCGAACUGCCUUUGAAACUGCAAGUCUUGAGUGAGGUUGAAGUAGCUAGAAUGAGUAGUGUAGCGGUGAAAUGCUUAGAUAUUACUCAGAAUACCGAUUGCGAAGGCAGGUUACUAAGUCUUAACUGACGCUGAGGGACGAAAGCGUGGGGAGCGAAC